UCAUGGUUAGGUUGUUUUAGGACCCAAGUGCAGGAGACAGAGGGAGGCUGGAGGCAGUAGUUCUCAAAAACAAGGGGUUUAUUCCAAAAAGGCAAAACAAGGCGCUGCAAAGCAGGAUGAACAAAAAACCAGGAUCAAGAAAAAGGUACGAGGAGACAUGGAGGAAGACACAGUACGGACCGACAGGGAACCAAGGAAUGACAAGACGAGAUAUACUGAAGGGAUAACGAGACAAGACGAGACACAGGUGCGGACACAAUCAGGGCCGAUGGGACACAGGCGGGGCAAGACAGAACUGAAAGUUACAAACACUGGGGGGGAAGUGUCAAACCCUGACAAACACCUGUUCUCAUUUGCAGUUUGAUUGACUACUAGACAGUUGUUUCUCUCAUCUACUGGAAAGAUGCCCCCUCCCCCCAUAUAGUCAAAAUGUAAUGCAUAUUCUCUCAUCAUGUAAUACAAGUUUUAAGUUUGAUGCAGGGUACUGUACAUGUUAGAAUAAGAAAUGCUGAAAAAACAUCAGUUCACCCUGACAUUUUCUUAUUUACAUGUCAAAAAACAUAAUCUGGCCAAAACUACUCUGACCAACACGUAAAGGACCCGACAACGUCCUUGGACUGGAUUUGCGAUUAAAGUCACUGACUAAAAUGUCAGAAUCAGAGAUUGAGGACUUGAUGGCAGAGCUCUUCAGACGAUACGGAUUUUCAAAACCUAUAUCCAUAAAAGUUUGUUCUGUUCAACCAUAACACCAGUGGAAGAAAGUCAAGAUCCAAGUGGAGUGGAAUAAAUCUGCAAAGCAUACUGUAUGUUUUUAUUUUUAAAGAUGUUUAGUCUUUUCUCGUGAAGUCUUUAUUUCCUGGAAAAGAAUCAAAUUAUUUGGGGAAUGUGUAUGUAUUCUUUAUGCCGGAGUUGUUACAACCAGAUUUGAGGGAAAUUAGUUCCACGACCAAAAUAUGAGUGUUUGAUUCCCCCUGAAGUCAUCUUUGACUUUCAGGAAAAAGGGUAGUGUGGAAAUGAGAACUGGUUGUGUUUAAGCAAAGUAAGCAUUUACAUAAAGGUUUUCUCACUAAUCUGUUCCUCAGAGGCACAAAACGAUGAUGUAAAGCCGUGAUUCCCAACCCCCGGUCCCCGGACCGGUACCGGUCCGUAGAGCCGUUACUACCGGGCCGUGGAAUGGCUUGUGUUCCGAUCAUAAUUAGGGCUGCAACGACGUUGUCGACAAAAAGCGAUAAUCAAAAUUGUCGGCAAUUGUCACCAGACGGUUUUUUCCCAAUGGAGUGAGGCAUCUCACUUCACUUCACCUCAUACAAUCUCUGCCCAGAGCGGCGUGUCAGCGCAGUUUUUUUUUUUUUUUUUCUUUUUUGCGUCUCCCCGCACCAGACGACUGCGCUCACUGAUCAAUGCUGCAGAUGCUGAUCAAUGAUGAGCAGGGGUCCGUCUGUUAACCCUGAAAUGAGGGAAACUGAGUUUUCCGUUUCACAAAGGGAGGUAACUCAAACCAGAGAAAGAGAGGUAACUCUAGCCUGUUUCACAAAGAGAGGUAACUUAAGCUCUCGGUCAGUUACCGUAGUAAUAGACUCUCUGAACCUAACCUGGACCAGGUUUAUAUGAAUGAACCUGGAGUUUCUCUGCGUCUCCGCCUCUUUCAGAGCCGCACGCACAUUUGAUUUCCUCAUUCAUUCAGUCAGCAGGCGAGUUUUGGCGAAGUUCUGCCGUCUGUCAUUAAAAACGGAGUCAGUAUUUUAGAAGUCCAUUGUCACGAACAUGGCAUGUCCUUUUGAUGAAGACACAAUUGAUGAAGGUGCAGAAUUAAUGCGCAGAGAAUUAAAUAUUCGUCGGGAGAUGGACAGACCACGUAAUACAUGUAUAUUACAGUACAUAGUCUCAUUACAGGCAAAGCAAUAUGUGUUAAUCCUUUAUUUGUUAUAAUUUUGAUGAUUGAAUUGUUUAAUGAUUUCAUAAUAUAUUCAAAUUUUUUGAGAUUUUUUAUUUGGGGUUUCAUAAACUGUGAGCCAUAAUCACCAAAAUUAUAACAAAGGCUUGAAAUAUCUCACUUUGCAUGUAGUGGGAAAUAAUAUUUGUUUCACCUUAAGUUGAAUUUACUACGAAUGAAGUUUUGCAAUAUAUUCAAAUUUUCCGACCUCCACCUGUAUAUUAUUACAUGAAUAAAUAAGAGCAUAAUACAGGGGUCUCCAACUCCGGUCCUGGAAAGACCUAUCCAGCAUGUUUUAGGUGUCUCCCUGCAUGAAUGACAGCAGCAAAGUUGAAUAAAAUAUCUAUUUUUCAUUGAA